CAUUGUACAAUGAAUGUUGCCUAUUUGGUUUUGGUGAUUUGUGUCAGCCGCAAAAUUUAAUUUAUUUUUUGUGCAUAUGAAGCCUUAGAAAUAAUUAGAAUGAGAUGUAAUACAUUAAAUAUUCAACAACGAUGAUAUAUUUAAGAGACCAACAUUUGUACUCAUCAUUUUAUAAUCGAUAAAGAUUGUAGUGUUGAAAAAUGUUAAAAUCAUUUCAUACACAAACAUUAUUAUAAAAAUUUACCCCACACAUAUGCGCAUGUUAUCAUCUAGUAUUCUAUUAAAACAGAAGUACAAAUAGAAAUUAACCCUAACUUUUUUUUUAAAUAUAAACAAUUGAAUGCCACUGGUCUUAAAUUUGUAACUAUAAUUAAUUAAUCCAAUAAUAAACAUAUAUUUGAAAAAAUAUUAACAGAAUCAAUACAAACAAAUUUGUUAAGAAACAAUAACUCCCGAUUUUACUCUUCUUUACAUAUAGGAUAUAUUAAAUAACAUUACAUAUUUAUGGAAACAGUUUGGAUUUGUUUUAAUUAAGAGAAAAAAACAUAUAUAUUAAUAGAUAUGUUCAAUGGAUAUAUAUUAAUAACAUUACCUACAAUCCAUCUACUAAAAAAACAUAUAUAUAUAUAUAUAUAUAUAUAUAUGUGGAUUUAUUAAUAGGCAAAAUGAAAUGUAUACAAAUCAUUCAAAAUCAAAAGC
rnacentral:lncRNA from 1 species